UAACAUUUAAAAAGAUAUCCAAUUUAUGUCACGCCCCGGAUGUUUCGUUCCCCGGGCACGCCAACAAAUCCGCCGUAUACAAAGAAAUUUUUCCUGUAUACGAAGCGACAGCUGUACCUGUAAAUCCAACACUACUACGAACAGUAGUAGAGAGCUGCUAGAGAAAACAGAAGCUAAACAAACUGAGUUUCAUAUACAUAGUCCAAAACCAAAAUACAGAGCUACUCACACUGGCGAGUUAAGUCUACUAUGUACAUAAACUCAAAACAAAAC
rnacentral:lncRNA from 1 species